GCACUGCCGGCGGCCGCGUAGGGUUGGGGUGCUGGCGGAUAGCCUCGUCCGGAUUCGGUUUUUUCGGUGACAAGGGUCUGAACGGAGUCCCCGGGUCCUCCUUGGCGUAUCUCCUCGCUGCCUCCCAUUUGGCCAAACCCAAGAGGAAGCCCGAAGGUAUGGAAGCCAUCCAUGCAGUUCAAUUUCCUAGAGUACCGAGAAGGGAGGAAAACAGUGGAGAGUGGAUUUGAAAGAGAAAAAAGAAAAUAUUCAGCACAAGUGGAGAUUGGAACACAGAGAGAGAUGCCAGGGGUGCAGGAGUGACGACCACGCAAAGAGGCAGCAAGAAGUGGGCAUCUGCAGCCAAGGGGAGGCCUCAGAGGAAACCAAGCCUGCCAGCGCCUUAGUCUCGGACUUCAAGCCUUCAGAACUGUGCGAAAAUAAAUGUCUGUUGUUUAAGCCCCUCAGUCUGUGGGAUUUUGUUAUGGAAGCCCUAGUGAUGAAUAUUAGACUUUUCAAAAACCUACUUUUGCUUUGUUGAUUUUCUCUAUUUUCAGUUUCAUUGAUUUCUCCUCUUAAUUACUUUAUUUUACUUCCUUUGCAUUUAAUUUACUCUUCAUUUACUAGCCUAAGGUAAUGCUUAAAUAAUUUAAACUUUCUUUUCUGAAAUAAGUAUUUCAAGUCAUAAUUCUAAAAUAAGCAUUUUAAUUCAUAAACUUCCCUUUAACAUCUGUUUUAGCUUUAUCCUGCAGAUGCUCAUGUAGCUUUCUUCUUUGACACUUGUUAAUUGUCUAUGGCCAUAUGUUUUAUUCCCACAUAUGAUACAAACCCCACAGUACACUGUCAUUCAUUUUACUUUGAACAACCAUUUGAUUUUUCUUUAAGAAAGGAAAAUUGUUUUCAUAUUGAUCCACAUAAUCUAGUCACCAUUUCCAGAGCUUUCGUUCCUUCCUGGAGACCUGACUCUGCAUCUGGAAAUUCUUCCAGCAUUUCCCUCAGCAUUCCUGCAGGAUGGGUUACUGGUGGACAAAUUCUGUUUUUUGUUCAUCUCAAAAUGUUUAAUUUGCCUUCAGUUUUGAAAGAUGUUUUCCUGUGUAUUGAUCCUAAAUUUGACAAUCCUCCCUUUAGCACCUAAAGAUAUCAUUCCAUUUUCUCCGGGCCUGUAUUGUUUCUAAAGAAAUGUAAG
rnacentral:lncRNA from 1 species